CUUAAUAGUCAAAACUUUCAACAACGGAUCUCUUGGUUCUCGCAUCGAUGAAGAACGCAGCGAAAUGCGAUACGUAAUAUGAAUUGCAGAUAUUCGUGAAUCAUCGAAUCUUUGAACGCACAUUGCGCCCUCUGGUAUUCCGGAGGGCAUGCCUGUUUGAGCGUCGUUUCUCCCUCAAACCGCUGGGUUUGGUGUUGAGCAAUACGACUUGGGUUUGCUUGAAAGACGGUAGUGGUAAGGCGGGAUCGCUUUGACAAUGGCUUAGGUCUAACCAAAAACAUUGCUUGCGGCGGUAACGUCCACCACGUAUAUCUUCAAACUUUGACCUCAAAUCAGGUAGGACUACCCGCUGAACUUAAGCAUAUCAAUAAGCGGAGGAAAAGAAACCAACAGGGAUUGCCUCAGUAGCGGCGAGUGAAGCGGCAAAAGCUCAAAUUUGAAAUCUGGCGUCUUUGGCGUCCGAGUUGUAAUUUGAAGAAGGUAUCUUUGGGCCCGGCUCUUGUCUAUGUUCCUUGGAACAGGACGUCACAGAGGGUGAGAAUCCCGUGCGAUGAGAUGACCCGGGUCUGUGUAAAGUUCCUUCGACGAGUCGAGUUGUUUGGGAAUGCAGCUCUAAGUGGGUGGUAAAUUCCAUCUAAAGCUAAAUAUUGGCGAGAGACCGAUAGCGAACAAGUACAGUGAUGGAAAGAUGAAAAGAACUUUGAAAAGAGAGUGAAAAAGUACGUGAAAUUGUUGAAAGGGAAGGGCUUGAGAUCAGACUUGGUAUUUUUGUAUGUUGUUCUUUCGGGGGCGGCCUCUACAGUUUACCGGGCCAGCAUCGGUUUGGAGCGGUAGGAUAAUUGCGAAGGAAUGUGGCACGGCUUUUGUUGUGUGUUAUAGCCUUUUCGUAGAUACUGCCAGCCUAGACCGAGGACUGCGGCGUAAGCCUAGGAUGUUGGCAUAAUGAUCUUAAGUCGCCCGUCUUGAAACACGGACCAAGGAGUCUAACGUCUAUGCAAGUGUUUGGGUGUAAAACCCGUACGCGUAAUGAAAGUGAACGUAGGUGGGAGCUUUAUUGUGCACCAUCGACCGAUCCUGAUGUGUUCGGAUGGAUUUGAGUAAGAGCAUAGCUGUUGGGACCCGAA
rnacentral:rRNA from 1 species